GCGCUGUGCGAGUCACUUCACAAGUAGCAGGUUCGCUCUGCUGCAGUAUCAGUUGCAGGAGCUGAGUGAGAGAGAGCGUAGGGCGCGAAACCAUAACCAGAAACUAUUGCAGGAUUUCCAGAGAGCACAGAAGACCCUCAGUGACUUGGUGGCUCGUACUGAAGCCAUGAACACCAUAAGGAUGGGGUAUGAGAGGUACCUGGAGGAGAACUACCCUAAAUGGCAGCAGAAGCUGCAAGACAAGAGGUUGUCAGAACAGCCAAAGGUCCAGAUGAUAGAACAGCACCUAAAGGCCUGCACACCACAGACGGAGGAGGAAGGUCAAAGGAUAGAUAGACGCAACAAGCACCCUUUUAGAAUCAUCUCUCCUUCAGCUGUUUCUCCUGACCCAUCUCAUUGUCCCAUCUUUAAUUUCCUUCCACAUAUAUCUGAGCAUAGAGAUAAUAUGGGAGAAGACCCAAUAUCUAGGCAUGGUUUAUUCCACCCAGGCAGCAAACAAAACAUGCAAGGAAACAUCCAAAAUUCCAUCCAUUCUUCCUUUCCCUCUAUGUGGUUAACACCGUUACAGCCUCCAGUAACUGAACCGGAGCAUAGUAACAUCUCAAAGAACACCAAAAACAUCCAGAAUGUUCACCAAGCUUUGAAUUCAUCUUUGCUUGACCCCAACCUAUUGUCCAGUGAUCCACUCCAAAGUCUUUACUCAGUAGUCCCGCAAGACCCUCCUUCCUAUGAACAUUUGAGGCAAUAUUCAAACUCCUGGGCAUCUGGGAAUGAAAAGUUUAACCUGAGAGUUCAGUGCCCCACUGAUUGUCCUUCUUGGUCAGACCUGCCUUUGAUUAAUGGGGAUACGGAGAGAAGAGAAGAAGAAGGAGGGCAGAAAAGGCAAGAAGCAUCAUCAAACUCUCAAGGUGAGAAUCAUCACAUGCAGAAGCAAAGGAAGAAAGUGAACAGCAGUCACACUAAGCCAGUGAAUAUAUCAAAUUACUAUGGCAACACCAGUGAAAGCAGUGAUCUGUCCUCUAAAGCUGUCAAAAGCCUUCCUACUGAAGUUCAGAGGAGAAGAAAUAAGAAGAGAAGAGAAGAAAAACAGCCACACAACACAAGGAAAGAUGCUGUUUUUCAGGGGUCAUCCUCAAUAUCAGACUGUCAGUCUGUUCCAAACCACAACAAGCACAAGAGAAAUCUGCUGAUUUCUUGUGGAGAGUCUAAUGGGAGAAUAAAAAAUCCCUUCAGGACUUCUAAAUUUGCUGUAGAUUCCCCUAAACAAUUAGUGAUGGAGAACAAAGAUGGUGGUAGCCCGAUUGAGGGAACACUCACAAGCAUUUCCUGUACAGUUGAGACAAGAGGGAUGCAGAUACAUGAAAAUAAGGAAGACGAAGGGGAGGAAGAAGAUAUAUUAAGUACUGGAGUGAAGCAAGUGAAUGAAGUGGCAAACAGAUAUUCAACUGAGAAUCGAGAGAAGAGAGCAUGUCUGUUUGAAGAACAGGAUAAAGAAGUAGAGUUUGAGGGAACAUGCAGAGAGCAGAGCAGUACACAUGAAGAAGAAGCACAGGAGAAGGAACCUUUAAGAAGCAACACGUCUGUUAAGGAAUCCCUUCUUGAAGAGGUGGAGUUUGUGAGAGAAAGUGAGGCAGAGGAAGGAGGAAUAGGAGAAGAGGAGGAGGAAGGUGGAGAGCAGGGAUAUGAAGAUGAGAAAAUCAGAGCAUCAGGAAGAAGGAGCAAUGAGAAUGAUUAUGAAUCUGAUAAAGAAGGAAGUUGCAAUGAAGUUUUGGUAUCGGGUUCAGAAAGAAGCAUCCAGGACAGUCUCAGAGAGUUGUAUAAAGAUGACACUGAAGAUGAC
ensembl:lncRNA